AAGCGUGGGGAGCGAACAGGAUUAGAUACCCUGGUAGUCCACGCCGUAAACGAUGAGUGCUAAGUGUUAGAGGGUUUCCGCCCUUUAGUGCUGCAGCAAACGCAUUAAGCACUCCGCCUGGGGAGUACGGUCGCAAGACUGAAACUCAAAGGAAUUGACGGGGGCCCGCACAAGCGGUGGAGCAUGUGGUUUAAUUUGAAGCAACGCGAAGAACCUUACCAGGUCUUGCUCCCUUGUGUAACCCCAGAGAGGGGAUUAACACGUGGGGGAACAGCGAGAAAUGGUGCGUGGUUUUCGGGAGAUCGGGGCUAGAGAUGACCGGUUAAGUCCCUGAAUGAGCGCAAGCUUCAUCUUAGUAGGCGGCAUUCAGUACGCACCUCUAAAGGGACUGCCGGUGACCAUUAGCAAGUUGGUGGGGUAGAGGUCAAACCAUCAUGCCCCUUAUGACCUACCUGACACACGUGUUGGACACUGGGCAGCAGAAAGGGGAGCCAAGCCGCGAGGGUAAGCCAAUCCCACAAAUCUUCCGUCAGUUGGAAUCGCGUCCUGCAAGGAGCAUGCGUGAAGCUGGAAUGGAUGGUUAUCGCGGAUCAGCAUGCCGCGGUGAAUACGUUCCCGGGCCUUGUACACACCGCCCGUCACACCACGAGAGUUUGUAACACCCGAAG
rnacentral:rRNA from 1 species